CAGCAGCCGCGGUAAAACGGAGGGUGCAAGCGUUAAUCGGAAUUACUGGGCGUAAAGCGCACGCAGGCGGUUUGUUAAGUCAGAUGUGAAAUCCCCGAGCUUAACUUGGGAACUGCAUUUGAAACUGGCAAGCUAGAGUCUUGUAGAGGGGGGUAGAAUUCCAGGUGUAGCGGUGAAAUGCGUAGAGAUCUGGAGGAAUACCGGUGGCGAAGGCGGCCCCCUGGACAAAGACUGACGCUCAGGUGCGAAAGCGUGGGGAGCAGACAGGAUUAGAUACCCCUGUAGUCCCUGUCUCUUAUAC
rnacentral:rRNA from 1 species